rnacentral:rRNA from 1 species
UACAGAGGUCUCAAGCGUUGUUCGGAUUUAUUGGGCGUAAAGGGCGCGUAGGCGGCGGGGUAAGUCGGGUGUGAAAUCUCAGGGCUCAACCCUGAAACUGCACUUGAUACUGCUCUGCUUGAGGACUGGAGAGGAGACUGGAAUUCACGGUGUAGCAGUGAAAUGCGUAGAUAUCGUGAGGAAGACCAGUGGCGAAGGCGGAUCUCUGGACAGCUCCUGACGCUGAGGCGCGAAGGCUAGGGGAGCAAACGGG